rnacentral:rRNA from 1 species
UACAGAGGAGCCAAGCGUUGUCCGGAUUGACUGGGCGUAAAGCGCACGCAGGCGGCACCGCGCGUGGGGUGUGAAAUCUGGCCGCUUAACGGCCAGGCGCCAUCCCAUACGGCGGAGCUGGAGUGAUGCAGAGGUCGAUGGAAUUGCCGGUGUAGUGGUGAAAUGCGUAGAGAUCGGCAGGAACACCCAGGGGGGAAACCAGUCGACUGGGCAUCUACUGACGCUGAGGUGCGAGAGCGUGGGGAGCGAACCGGG